UACGGGGGGAGCAAGCGUUGUUCGGAUUUACUGGGCGUAAAGGGCGCGCAGGCGGCUGCUCAAGUCAGGCGUGAAAGGCCUGGGCUCAACCCGGGAAUUGCGCUUGAGACUGGGCUGGCUUGAGUGCGGGAGAGGAUGGUGGAAUUCCCAGUGUAGAGGUGAAAUUCGUAGAUAUUGGGAAGAACACCGGUGGCGAAGGCGGCCAUCUGGACCGCAACUGACGCUGAGGCGCG
rnacentral:rRNA from 1 species